GUGAGGAAUAUUGGUCAAUGGGCGGGAGCCUGAACCAGCCAAGUCGCGUGAAGGAAGAAGGAUCUAUGGUUCGUAAACUUCUUUUGCAGGGGAAUAAAGUGCAGGACGUGUCCUGUUUUGUAUGUACCCUGAGAAUAAGGAUCGGCUAACUCCGUGCCAGCAGCCGCGGUAAUACGGAGGAUCCGAGCGUUAUCCGGAUUUAUUGGGUUUAAAGGGUGCGUAGGUGGUUUGAUAAGUCAGCGGUGAAAGUUUGCAGCUUAACUGUAAAAAUGCCGUUGAAACUGUCGGACUUGAGUGUAAAUGAGGUAGGCGGAAUGCGUGGUGUAGCGGUGAAAUGUAUAGAUAUCACGCAGAACUCCGAUUGCGAAGGCAGCUUACUAAGCUACAACUGACACUGAAGCACGAAAGCGUGGGGAUCAAACAGGAUUAGAAACCCCGGUAGUCC
rnacentral:rRNA from 1 species